UGCCUGGGAGCCUGUAUGACAGGCAGGUUUCGGACCGUACCAUUUCACUCCACACAGGGGGGUCCAGGGUCCAUCUGCUCUCCUCCACUCCCCCCAUCAGACGAGGAGUGGUCCUGCCUCUCCGAACGGCUCCGCCCACCACCGCCGCACGGUGAUCUGUGAGCCGAUGAAAUCCAGGAAGUACAGAAGACUCCUAGACUCCAGUACAAGUCAACUCAACUGCGUGCUUUAUUGAUAUACACAGUAAAGCCUGUUAUGAUACAAUAGUAAGGCAUAUAUCUGGUGGAGUCUGAUAUGUUGUGGAAAAACAAAAAAGAAAUUAGUUAUUGAGGAAAGCAAUGGACGACAAAAGUAACUCAAGCGUUAGAAAUGAAAAUGAAUAAUUAUAAUAGGGUAACGACCAGAUACAACUACAAAAGAAUCUCUUUGAUCAUGCUUUCCCAGCAUAGCACACGAGACUGUUGUCAUGACAACACGCAGUGUACCUCGAGGUGGGGUUCCACACAUUAAAUAAAGGGUGUGCGUGCACACAUGCAGUCACUUGUGGCUCCACACGCCCACAGCAACACAACUAAAACAAACUUCGUCGUCAUCAUCAUCAUCAGCAGUACACCAAUGAAGAUGGACUGUUUCCAGGACAACAGUAAUGUGCAUUGGGGCUGUCAGUAGUCUGUCUGGUCAGUAGUGUCGGGGAGGGGGGUGGGGGGGUGGCCGGACGGCGUUACCAAGCGUGCU